rnacentral:lncRNA from 1 species
CCGGCUUUCCCACCGCCGCCUCCGCGCGCCGCGAGCCCACCCCACGGGGCCCGCGUGUCCCCGCGGCCACUGGGGCAGCCGGCUGUGCGCAGGGAAAGCCGAGGCCCUGGAGGCCAGGCUGAUGGAGGCUGGCGUCUGCAUCCCUGGGGUCUGGAGCCCAGUCCCUCCGGAACUUGGGACCCGAUUUGGCGGCAGAAGCUGGGAAUUUUCAAGUCUAGCCUGGGAUUUCAGGCUGCAGUGCGUGGGGCACCCCCACAGGCCGAAGGAGACUCUCUGAGCUUCAGAAACGCGAGUCCCAGCUUCAUGGCUGCCCCUGGAGCGGAUGGAGCACCCUGGACAGAGCCAAGGGGAUGCCAACCCCAGCCCCAUGAGACCUGGAGGCACCAGGCCCAAACCCCAACGGCCAGUGGGCUGUGGGCCGCCAACCUGGGUGCCAUGCCUGGGCUCUCGCACAUGCUUAACUUUGGGGUUGAGGCUGCUGCGGGUGUCCUGCCUGGUCCCAAGUCCCAGGCCCCAGGUGGAGCCUUACCCUAGCCAGACAAGCAAAGGGGUCUUGAGGAUGGAGCAGCCUCUAGGAGGUGACUGUCCUCGUCACCCUCACCUCAGCUCUGAGAGCAGAAUCACUGUCCCCCUCUAUACCCGGGGAGCAAGAGCUGACCCUGGAAUUCAGAGCAGCUUCUGGGAGAAGGGUGCAGACUCCCUGAAUCAUACCCAUCAGUAGCAGGCCUGUGACCUGCAGCAACUACUACGCCAGACGGAGCUAAGGUGGACCUUGGAAAAUGGCGCACUGUGGUUAUGGGAGUUCUCACUGAGGCCCUUCCCUGCUUAGCCCUCAAAGCUGGCUCCUCACCCUCAA